rfam:Danio rerio chromosome 4, GRCz11 reference primary assembly.
GCAUUGGUGGUUCAGGGGUAGAAUUCUCGCCUCCAGUGCAGGAAACGCAGGUACGAUUCCCUUCCAACGCA